UCAUACUAAGCGGGGCAGUAGCGGCGCCUUGUACCCGAAAUCCGCUAUAUCGGGGCCGAAUUCUCCUUAGGAGGUGUUGGCUUGUGCGGUCUGCGCCGCAUUCCUUUGUGUUGAAGAAUGGGUCUUGUGCAAUGAAAAACCGUGAACCAUGUCAGGUGGGGAACCAAGCAGCAUUAAGCGGAGCUUUUUAUGUGCCACAGGGGUGCCUGUUCGGAGCAAAGUGUGCGGUUAACGCGUGUAAGUUUGCAUCGAAUUUGGGGUGUAUGA
rnacentral:SRP_RNA from 1 species